UACGUGAGGGGCUAGCGUUGUCCGGAAUUAUUGGGCGUAAAGAGCUUGUAGGCGGUUUGUCGCGUCUGCUGUGAAAUUUCGGGGCUCAACCCCGAACUUGCAGUGGGUACGGGCAGACUAGAGUGUGGUAGGGGAGACUGGAAUUCCGUGGUGUAGCGGUGAAAUGCGCAGAUAUCAGGAGGAACACCGGUGGCGAAGGCGGUUCUCUGGGCCUUACCUGACGCUGAGGAGCGAAAGCAGUGGGGAGCAAACAGG
rnacentral:rRNA from 1 species